AGUAAAAGUCGUAACAAGGUCUCCGUUGGUGAACCAGCGGAGGGAUCAUUACUGAGUUUACGCUCUACAACCCUUUGUGAACAUACCUACAACUGUUGCUUCGGCGGGUAGGGUCUCCGCGACCCUCCCGGCCUCCCGCCUCCGGGCGGGUCGGCGCCCGCCGGAGGAUAACCAAACUCUGAUUUAACGACGUUUCUUCUGAGUGGUACAAGCAAAUAAUCAAAACUUUUAACAACGGAUCUCUUGGUUCUGGCAUCGAUGAAGAACGCAGCGAAAUGCGAUAAGUAAUGUGAAUUGCAGAAUUCAGUGAAUCAUCGAAUCUUUGAACGCACAUUGCGCCCGCCAGCAUUCUGGCGGGCAUGCCUGUUCGAGCGUCAUUUCAACCCUCAAGCUCUGCUUGGUGUUGGGGCCCUACAGCCGAUGUAGGCCCUCAAAGGUAGUGGCGGACCCUCCCGGAGCCUCCUUUGCGUAGUAACUUUACGUCUCGCACUGGGAUCCGGAGGGACUCUUGCCGUAAAACCCCCCAAUUUUCCAAAGGUUGACCUCGGAUCAGGUAGGAAUACCCGCUGAACUUAAGCAUAUCAAUAAA
rnacentral:rRNA from 1 species